GUGUCGGUAGUGCAGCGUUUUAGCACGUGCCACCGAAAUAAGUGAGAUCUGGGGUUCGAAUCCCAGUUGACGCA